rnacentral:lncRNA from 1 species
AUUCCUAUCCCUCUGGUGGUGGGGCUUUGUCUCUGGGAUUAGAGGCUGCUUUGUGCCUGGGGGGGGGGGGUCUUUAGACAGCCAGUUUACUGAUAGGUCGGGCUGUGAUCCCACCUGGAUUAUUGUUUGGCCUGGGGCUUCUCAGCACUGAUGGGUGGGGCCAGAUUUUCCCAAAAUGGCCACCUCCAGAGAAAUGCAUGCUAGUGAAUUUUCCCAAGAACUUUGCCUCCAAUGUCCUUUCCCCACAAUGAGACACAGUCACCCCCUGUUUUCCUGGGAGAUCCACCAAGAACUGCACUCAGGUCCAACCCAGAGGAAUGGAGAAUUUGCUUUGACCUGGAACCCAGUGUACAUGAAAUUCUUUGUGCACCUUUCAAAAAUGGGGUCUCCAUUUCCCCCAAUCCCAUGGAGCUCCUGCACACAAGCCACACUGGCCUUCAAUGCCAAAUGCUCCAGGAUAUCUUUUUCCCAAUGCCAAAUCCCCAGGUGUGGGUAUUUGAUGUGGGGCUCAGUACUAUCACUCCUGUAGGUGAGUCUCUGUAAUACAGUUACUUUCCAAUCUGUGAGUUUUCCACCCAGGAGUUUUGGGCUUACUUAUAUCACAUAAUCACCCCUACUACCUCUUGAUGUUGCCUCCUCUUUGUCUUCUGGAGUGGAUAUCUUUUUGAAUUCAAGUCCGUUUUGUUGAAGGUUGUUAAGCAUUUGGUUGUAAUUUUGUGUUUUUUAUGAGAUAAAUUGAGCUCCAGUCCUUCUAUUCUGCCAUCUUAAUCCCAUAUGAUAGUCCAGAUAAUUUUUUUUUAAUGGUGGCACUCGUGAUGUAUGGAAGUUCCUGGGUCUGGAGAAGCUUUUCUGACAUAAACUUCCAGCUGCUCCUUCAGGCAUAUCUUUGUAUACAGAAGCCUCCCCUUUAUAUAUCCAUGAGUUAAGCUUGCCAUGAGCUAUAAACAUUAAACCGAUGUGUUUUUGUUAAGGAUUUUAUUUUUAAAUUCUUAUUUUGAAAAACCUAAAUAUUAACUGAUUACUUAAAUGUUGCCACAUUUUAGUGUCCUAUUUUUGAGGUCCUUUAUGUUAGAGACAUUCUGGAGAAUCCCAAGGUCAUCAGUUUACAGCCAUUUGUGUCUAAGUGCAAGGUACACUCUCAGCUUAUUUUCUUCUUACAGCUUAAUUUUAUCAUUUGUUACUAGUGUUUACCUAUAUAAUCCUGACCUAGAACUUGAGAGGCAAUCUUACAGUGUUUAAACUGUUUCUGCUAGGAACUGAGUUUAUAACUAUUACACAUCUCUCUGAUCUUAAAAAAAAAAAUCAUCAAGAUGUUGCCAAAUAAGCUAUGAUUCUAUUAGAAAAGAACAAAAAUUGUGGUUCUCCAUCAAUAAGAAUAGAAAAAUGUAUUAACAGGAGAUUCUCAAAUUUCAAUGACAUAUGGUAAUGGAAAUGUUUCUUGUUCAAUCCACAUGCCCACUGCAAUUCACUCAGAGUUCUGCUCCACAUCUCUUCAACCUACAACUUAGGCUGACCUGGAAGGCUGCACCCUUCAAGUGUGGUUCUACCUUGAAAAGCCCUAAUCUUCUAGGUAAAGGGAAAGAAAUCUUUGGAGAGUUUUUCAACAACCAUUAUAGGCUCUGGCCUCCUCACCAUUCAUUUGCUUAAAAAGCACAUGGAUUCCUUCCUCUCUCCCCCUCCCUAUUAAUGCUCCAGUACCAUCCAAAGGACAUAGGAAGUGCAAUCCUACCUAAGGUCUGGCAAAUGCAGAGAUGAAAAUACUUGACAAACAACACUAUUGAUGUAUUAGUGAUUUACCAAUUAUUAAAAUACAAUUUCAAUCAUUUUUAAAGAUAUCAUGUCCCAAAAGGUAAACAUAUACAUAUAAGUAUGCACAGAUAUUUUUGUAUUUAUAUCUAUCUUAAAUAUGCUUCAUUAGAAUUUUCUUACAUUUUGGGGUAUAAGGAUAAUUUGACACAGUUUGUUCUAUAAUGUUCUUUCAUGUUUUCUGAUUUAUUUCUGUUCUUAUUUGUAACUUCUACAAAUCUCCCAUAGUUGCUCUAAUAAAAUAUUAAACUAUUAAACCUGAUUAUUUUUGAUGAUAUUUAACUAAAUUUGUUUAUAAAUAUUUAGAGUUCCUAAGCAUGUGACAUUAUUUUUUGCACCAAUUUGUUGAUUGAACUACUAUGAGACACUAAGUUGUAAUUAGAUAUUGGUAUCUCAUUAAUAUAUAUGGUUGUUUCUCUUUUGUUCUUCACAUUUGUCUAUAUAUUUGAAGUUAAGCUUGUCUUUGAGACUCUAUAAUUUUAGAUAAAACAGUCCUCCCUUCAUAUUUUAUUCUGUCAUGUAUUUAAAGAAAAUAUUCUAUGGGAUUUUAAAGAAGUUAAAAACUUCUGAACAAAGAAACCAUGGAUGAAAAGCCCUCUCACUUUUUAUCAAGAUCAGUCUAUAUAUUCAACUUAUCUGAGGCAAUGAGUUUUAACACCUGAAAAUAUGUGCACGUAUAUAUGCAUGUAAACACUCUUACAAAAACUUUUUAUUUCAUGUUAAAUGAAUUAAAAUAAUCAAUGGAUUGAAUGAUAUAGAAUAGUAUACACAUAUUUCUAGGGGUAUUUAAGAGCACUCUGCAAUAUGUGAAACAAUUAUGCUAAUAUAUGCACCAAUAUAUUGAGAGUAAUUAGAUGCUGUGAAAAGAAAGGAGACCUUCUGGUGUAUGUUAAUUCAUUAACUUUGCAUUGAUAUAUGCUUAAGAUUCCAGUUUCUUUUUUUUUCUUUUAGCAAUAAUGUAUUGCAAAUGUAAUCGUUACAUAUAUUUGAGGAAAGUCUUUUAAAAUAAAAUUGGAAAUACUUAGUUUGAAGAUUGCUUUUGUGCAAAACCAGGGCAUGCCCACUAUUAAGCAAUUUAUCCCAAGUUUGCAUUUCUUUAGUGUCUAUAAGAGAAAAAAUGAGCAUAUGACAUUUUUAUACCUUAUUUAUAACUAUUUAUUUUAUCUACAUCAAAAGUAUACUAAAUUUUCUAAAAUCAUAUUUAUCCAAACCCCCUGAUAGCAUAAACAUAAGAUUAUUGUUUAGUUUCAUGAUGUCUUAUUUAAAGGUCCUCAGGUCAGACAUAUAGAUAAUCUAGCCCCAUCACCUCCAAAUAUUUUCAACCUGAAAGAAAAUUACAUAUCCUGUGAGGUCUGGUUUCUACAUCUGGGGAAGAGGGACAACAGAGUUUUUGGGUGGAUCCAGUGUGACUGGCAAUAUAAGGUAUGUGAAUACAAUGUUUGUUUAUAGUAGUCUAGAGUAAACAUUAGCUCCCAUUCAACUUAUAUGACAGAAAUGAAGAGCAGGCUAAUACAAACUACUUAUCACAAACUCUUAAAAAAAACUGUCUAGAAUUGUAUGUAAUUUAUAUUUGCAUGUAUAAUGAUUAACCUGAAAUUUUGGAAUAUAGGAUAGUACAUUUUGAAUCAUCUGUCAGGUUAAUUUAUAUUCAAUAUAAUUUAGUGUCCUUGUGUAGUUUUCUAUGUUGUAAUUCUCAGUAAAUAUGUAAAAAUUGAUUACUAUCAAUGGCACAUAUACCAGAGUGACUGGUAUGAGUUUGUCAAAAUAACAGUCAAAUCAAUGAUGCUCAGCAAAUGACUUAAAGUCUCCACUUUCUUUUCUGAAAAAUGAAGAAAAUAAUACAUGCUGCAUUAGGCAGGAUUUAUUUCAGUUGCAAAUGACAUAAUCUCAACUCAAAGCAGAUUAAAGAAAGUGAUUUAGUAAAGAUGUUGGGUAGCUGACUGAAUCAAACAAAAAAGCUGUUGGAGACAGAGGUUAUCUACCACUCCAAGGGUAAGACAUGAAAGGCACAAAGCCAUUUAAAUUCUCUCCAUUCAUUUGUCUUAUUGCUGCUUCUUUAUUUUUUGUUCUAUAUUGUUCUCUCCAGAGCAAAAGAUGACCACAGGCAAACCAAGGAUUGCAUCACUGGCCUUCACUAAGUUUAUAACCAAGAUUUCUCCUUGUUAGAUGAAAGAAUAACAUACUUGGGCAAUGAAUCAGACUGAUUUGGGUUACAUGCCCACUGCUUGGGCAAACAUAUUUAUAAAGUGUUUAUCAUGACAUUUAGGUCCAUCCAAUGUGAACCACAGAGGUCCAACCCAUACUACUGAAUCCCAAAGAAAGUCCAUAUCAUGACACUUGGGAUCUGGUUUUGCCAGCAGCUGCUCCAAGGGGCCAGUUAACUCAGAAGUGUUGUAAGUGGGAUUCAACCACCACCACACCACCAGCAGCAGAGGGAGUAGUGGGAAACUGUUGACUAAUGAGAAACAGAAAGCAGCAGGAGGGAACCUGAAAACAGGCAGAUAAUUUCCCCUUCCUUCCUACUUUCCAAUGACUACUUUUCUCUAAAACUUAUCCAAUGACAAAUGCAUAAGUGCCUCAUAGCCAGAUGACCAUGGCUGUGAAGCUGUGGCCAACUCCAUAACACAUCAACUUGGAUUUUCUCUCAUCCUCCCUGACACUCUUAACUUUGCUUUCACUCUUACUGCCCUGGUUUAAUACUUCUCAAUGAAGAAUUGCUGUUUAUGCUUUGAUGCAGCCUCAAUUUUCUAGGGAUCCCAGCUAAGACAAAUAGAUACUCCAGGCAUACCUCAUUUUAUUGCACUAUAUGGAUGCUGUAUUUUUUGUAAAUUGGAAGAUUGUGGCAACCUUAUGUCAAACAAUUCUAUUAGUGCCAUGUUUUUCCAACAGUAUUCGCUCAUGCCAUGUUUUUUUUUUUUUUUUUUUGUCACAUUUUGGUAAUUCCCAUAAUAUUUUAAGAUUUUUAAUCAAAUAUUAUAUUUGCUAUGGUGAUUUUUUAUCAUUGAUCACUACAGUUGUAAUUGUUUGGGGUGUCUCUAACCAGGUCCAUAUAAGAUGCUUGCAUUAAUUGAUAUACAUUGUAUGUAUUCUGACUGAUCCACUGACCAGCUCUUCCUCCAUCUCUCUCCUUGCUUCAGGCCUUCCUAUUUCUUGAGACACAAAAAUAUUGAAAUUAGGCCAGUUUCUAACCCCACCAUGGCCUCUAAUUUUUCAAGUGAAAGGGAAAUUAACACAUCUUUCACUUCAAUAAAAAGCUAGAAAUGAUUAAGCUUAGCCAUGCUCUAAGUGAAGAUAGGCCAACAGCUAGGCCUCUUGUAGCAAACAGUUGGCAGUUGUGAAUGCAGAAGAAAAGCUCUUGACAGAAAUGAAAAUUUCACUUUAGUUUACACACAAAAGAAAAGAAAGUGAAACAGCCUUCUUGUUGAUAUGUAGAAAGUUUUAGUGGUCAGGAUGGAAGAUUGAACCAGCCACAGUAUUCCCUUAAGCCAAAGGCUAAUUCCAAGAGCAAGACUCUAACUUGCCUCAAUUCUAUGAAGCCUGAGAGAGGUGAAGUUGCACGGGAACAAAUUGAAGCUCACAGAGGUUGGUUCAUAAGGUUUAAGAAAGCAGCCAUCGCCAUAAGAUCAGAGUUUAAGAUAAAGCAGCAAGUGCUGAUAUAGAAGAUGUAGCACGUUAUCCAGAAGAUCUAGCUAAGAUAAUUAAUGUGACUACAGUAAACAACAGAUUUUCAGUGGAAACAAAACAGUCUUUAUAUGGGAAGAAAUGCCAUCUAGGACUUUCAUAGCUAGAGAGAGAAAUCAAUGCUUGGCUUCAAAGCUUCAAAGCACAGACUGACUUUCUUGUUAGGAGCUAAUGCAGCUGGUGACUUUAAGUUGAAGCCAGUGUUCAUUUACCAUUAUGAAAAAUCCUAGGGCCCUUAAGUCUGCUCUAUCUGUGCUGUAUAAAUGGAACAACAAAGCUUGGAUGACAGCACAUCUGUUUACAACAUGGUUUACUGAAUAUUUUAAGCCCACUGUUGAGAACUACUGCUCAGAAAAGAAGAUUCCUUUCAAAAUAUGACUGCUCUUUGACAAUGCACCUAGUCACCCAAGAGCUCUGAUGGAGGUGAACAAUGAGAUUAAUCUUGUUUUCAUGGCAGCUAACACAGCAUCCAUUCUGCAGCCCAUGGAUCAUGGAGUAAUUUUGACUUUCAAGCUUUGUUAUCUAAGAAAUCUGUUUUGCAAAGUUAUAUCUGCCCUAGACAGUGAUUUCUCUGAUGGAUCUGAGCAAAGUAAAUCUCAAACAAGUUUUGGAAAGGAUUCACUACUGUAGAUGACAUUAAGAACAUUUGUAAUUCAUGGGUGGAGGUCAAACUGUCAACAUAAACAGGAGUUUGGAAGAAAUUGAUUCCAUUUCUCAUGAAUAACUGAAAAGUUUAAUACUUCAAUGGAGGAAGCAAAUAUAGAUGUGGUGGAUGUGGCAAGAGAACUAGAAUUAGAAGUGGAGCCUAAAGAUGUGACUGAAUUGCUGCAAUCACAUGAUAAAACUUUAAUGGAUGAGAAGUUGCUCCUACAGAUGAGCAAAGAAAGGAGUUUCUUGAGGUAGAAUCUACUCCUGGUGAAGAUGCUAUGAAUAUUGUUGAAAUGACAACAGUGGAUGCAGAAAAUGUAUUACGGGAACUUAGUUGUUAGAUUUGAAAGAAUUUACUCCCAUUUUGAAAAAAACUUCUACUGUGGGUUAAAUGCUGUCAAACAGCCUUGAAUUCCACAGACAAAUGAUUCAUGAAAGGAAGAGUCAACAAAUGUGUAAAACUUCAUUGUGAUCUUAUUUCAGGAAAUUGCAGGAGUUCCCAUUUUUGCUUGGUGGAUUAAGAACCCAACUAGUAUCCAUGAGGAUAUGGGUCUGAUCCCUGGUCUCACUCAAUGGGUUAAGGACCUGGCAUUGACACAAUCUGUGGUUUAGGUCACAGAUGCCGCUCAGAUCCUACAUUGUCAUGGCUGUGGCAUAGGCCAGCAGCUGCAGUUCCAAUUCAGCCCCUAGCCUGGGAAUUUCCAUGUGCUGCAGGUGCAGU